CUCCAGUAUAGGCCAUACUAGAAUUAUUUUUAUGUGCAGCUGACCCAACUAACAUUGUAUAAAAGGAUGUUAAUGGGUUUGCUUUAUAUUAAUGGGACAUGGUUUAAUAUAGGGCUUAAAUAAUUUUAAAAAAUGAAUUCUACUUCCCAAUUCAAUGUAUCAAGCAUUCUCAAACACGAAUAAAUUUGAUUUAGAUUAAUUCCGUUUCUCCAAAAAUCAAGUUACGAAGACCAAAACUCCAACAGAGUUAGAAAUUAAGCAUAGGUGCCAGUGUAAAUUUUUUUAAGUUAUAACCUCCCCUGCUUUGAAACUGAGUAGGCAAUCUCAUAAUGAAAGAGCAAGUAUUUUCUCCACAGGCCUCACCGUCUUCUCAUAUAAAUAUAACUUAUUUACUGAAUCUUCUCCUUCCCUCCACUAAAAUGUAAGGUCCAUGAUGGCAGGAAUUUUUGCCUGUUGUAACUCUAGUGCCUAGAACAGUCCUGGCACACAGUAAGAGUACAAGAAAUAUGAGUUGAAUGAAUCAUCAGUUUUGUCUCCUUUCCUUUUGCUGUCAUCAUCCUUGGUGACUUGACCAAGAAUAAGCUAUCCACACUCUGGCUUCUCGGCUCUUUAGCCUCCUCAUCUCCAAUGACUAUCCCUAACCCGCAGUGGCCACCUGUAAUCAAAGUCACACAAGGAACCCUGCCACAACCUGCAAGUACACACUAUCUCCAAAAAUCAACUCAAGCAUCCUGCCCUUCGUCUGCAAGCUCCUAUCCUUGCAAUUCAUUUUUUAAAAAAUCCUCAUUAUGCCUUUAAAAAAAAAACCUCAUUGGGAUAGAUCUCCUCCAGCUUGUCUCCAUACAUUAGUUCAUUUCUCUCUUCAUUUCGCUCCCCAUCUAUUUAGACUUUCAUAGGCUAUUGUUUCAGUAACACCCUUCUCAUUAUCCUUCAUUUUUUAGUGCACCUUUAUCUUUGCACUGAAUCCAUCUGACAAAACCCCAACCACAGAUGAGCACAACUAUCUGCCUUCUCUGUGCUUAGCCCCAAGCAUCCCACCACAGCUGGAGAAGUUCUCAACAGGCCAGAUGAGAUCCACACAUUCAGGAUCGCCUGAUUUACCUAAAAUGUUACGAAGCCUCUCUAAUUGACUCAUUCUCCCAUGCUCCAUGAUGACCACUUCUCUCGAACACAUAUCCUUCUUUCCCAGACUCACAACAGAGGACCUCCUUGACUCUUACUAUGUCACAAUGGAAAUAGAAACCAUCAGAAAGAAAUUAUUGCAACAACUCUUACCAAACACACAAACCUACUAUAUCCACAGCCAUCCUAUCCUUUCCUACUGUUACAACAGAUGUUCCUCCCAUCCAUGGCCAAAAUGUCAUCUAUGCUUGGGAUCCUAUCUCCUUCUUAGAAAACUACUAUUGAUGACCUCUUCUACCCCAUAUAUGCUUGCCUCUUCCUUUUUCCUAGUAGUUCUUAAAAUAGUUCUUUCCCAUUAAACUCAUAAACUUUCCUCUUUUAUAGCCAGCUUCCCUAAGAACUCUGUUUCUGGCUUUACUUCCUCUUCACUCCUUCACCUACUGUGAUCUGUCCUUUGCCCCAGUCACUCUAGUGAAAUAGCAUAAGUUAUAACCACAUGACUGACAUCUUGCCAACAGGAAUGCAUGUGGAAAAGGUAUAACACUUCCCAUCUGAGGCACUCAAGAAAAGGCGUGAGUUCUCUACCUUCUCUCUCCCAUCCACCUGGCUGACAGAGUUGGAGGAUGGAAGUGUCCUGGAUUCCUAACAGAAACUGCCAGAGUGCUGCCCAACCCUCAGGAGACUGACACAGGUGCCAUGCUCUACACAGAAGCUCACAGGAUUGUGCUACCCAUUCCUGUCUUAAAAUAUUAAAGACCUC
rnacentral:lncRNA from 1 species